AUGAUGUUUCAUCGUUCAAGAUUCCUACUCAAGAACAUGAUCACUAAGGAGAGAACUUUCCAGACAGCAGGAAGUGAAAGGAGGAGGUCUUCCAGCACCGGAUGUGGUGUGUGCUCUGGAUCUGCCACCCAUGUGUGUUGCUUUCCCUCCCAUCAAUCAAGGGAGAGACAACGGACUGCUCCUCCCACCAUGGCGCCCAGAAACCUCAUUGCAGAAUUUUUACUUCUCAUCGCCACUAUGCUGAGCUCAGCAGGUUUGGAGGUGGAGUUUCCAAAACAAGAGGGUGCAGCUUCAGCUCCAUCGGAUCAGAUUUGGGGCUGCUGUCAGCCCUUGGGGUCUUCAUGCCUUAGGCUCAAGGGGGCUAAAAAGGGGGACUGGUCUUGAUUACAAGGAGAA
rnacentral:lncRNA from 1 species